rnacentral:rRNA from 1 species
UACGGAGGGUGCAAGCGUUAUCCGGAUUCACUGGGUUUAAAGGGUGCGUAGGUGGGUUGGUAAAUCAGUGGUGAAAUCUCCGAGCUUAACUUGGAAACUGCCAUUGAUACUAUCAGUCUUGAAUAUUGUGGAGGUCAGCGGAAUAUGUCAUUUAGCGGUGAAAUGCUUAGAUAUGACAUAGAACACCAAUUGCGAAGGCAGCUGGCUACACAUAUAUUGACACUGAGGCACGAAAGCGUGGGGAUCAAACAGG